AUGCAUGAUGGGCUUGACUUGAGGCCAUCCAAGAUGGAUGAUCCAGACACGGAGAUGGAUGAUUCUUCUUGUGCUUGGCUCGAGGGUUUUCCUGUUACUGCUACCUUGGGCCCUGCUGGCCCCGUCAUCCAGCAACUCCGCUCGCUGACCACUGUAGCCAACGUGGUUAGCAAGGAUGAGAUUCAGAUGCUCGCAAACAAUCUGGAGGUUUUAUGCAUCUCCCUCAUGCAUCAGUCGGAGGCAGCGGAACCUCUGAGCUUCACGGCCAGGUGCUGGAUGAGCGAGGUCCGGGAGCUUUGUUAUGACACCAAAAACUACUUGGAUGAUGCCCCGUUUAUUUCCAAGCAAGACGAUGACCAUCGCCUCACACCAGAAGAGAAGCAGGAAAAUGCCCAGUUUGAAUUCCAGAUGCUUGAGGCUCGGGUGAUGCAUGCCAACAAGAGAAGGGAAAGGUACGGAUUUGACCAGCAGCAGUGCAUCAUCAACAAGCCAAAAUGUCCUCCGUCUAUAGGACGUCGGCUUCAAUCAGUUAUUUUCCCGGAACUGAUUGAUGGCGGCCGCUUGGAUAAUCUUGGAAAUUUGAUUUGGCGCAAGGACGAGGGGCAACAGCUCACGGUUGUAUCUCUGGUUGGGCUUGAGGGUGUUGGCAAGACCACACUCGCCAAGAGGAUAUACCACCAUGUCCAGACCUGUGAGCAAUUCCAUUGCCGGGCUUUUGCCAAGGUGUCUCGGAACCCGGACAUGAGGAGGCUUCUAACCACCAUUUUCACACAGAUACAUAUUCAAUCCCCGCCCGACUUUUCUUCUCCUUCUUCUCAGCCUCCUGCUCGAUGCUUGGAUGCGCAGGACCUUAUCGCAAAUAUCCAACUCCAUCUGCGACACAAAAGGUACUUAAUCAUAAUUGAUGAUCUAUGGAGUGCUUCAGUCUGGGAUAUUAUUAGGCGUGCUUUUCCAGAUAAUGGUUGCCACAGUAGAAUAAUAGCAACCACCCAAUUUGAAGAUGUAGCUUCAGCAUGCUGUAGCUAUCAGUCAAAGUACUUGUCUGAGAUAAAACCUCUCAAACAUGGUCAAUCACAAGAAUUAUUUUUCAGUAUGUUUGGCUCCAAAUCUGAAGUCGGUCUUCCGAAGGACUUCGGAGAGGUUUCAUACGAAAUUAUUGAGAAAUGUGGUGGUUUACCGUUAUCAAUUGUAAAUAUAGCCAGCAUGUUGCCAGCACCAAGCAAACAAAACCUCCAGGAAUGGAUGGACAUUCGAGAUUCUUUGCCUUCCACUCUGAGGGCAAAUCCUACUCCUGAAGGGAUAAAACAAGUUCUAAACCUUAUAUACAAUAAUCUUACCCCUCAACUGAAGACAUGCUUGCUGUAUCUUGUUCUGUAUCCAGAGGGCUGCACAGUCACUAAGGAUGACUUGGCCAAGCAGUGGAUUGUUGAAGGUAUUAUAGAGGAAGGACAAAACAAAGAGGAAGUUGCAGGGGGGUAUUUUGAUGAGCUUGUCAGUAGAGGAAUGAUCCAAGUGGUAGACAAUUACCUCGGGGUGUUGUCAUGUACACUUCACCACAUGGUAUACGAUCUUAUUGUGAAGAAAUCAGUUGAGGAGAACUUCAUCAUUGUUGUGGACUAUUUUCAACCAGCUAUAGGUCUUCCUCCCAAGGUUCAUCGUCUGUCUGUACAAUUCGGAGGUGCAAGGAGCGCACGUAUACCAGCGGGAAUCAUGGCAUCUGAAGUUCGAUCGCUUGCAUUUUUUGGAUUCUGUGGAUGCGCAGAUUUCAUCGAGGAGUAUAAGCUUCUUCAAGUGUUAGUUCUACAUGUUUGGGAUGAUCAAGGUGAUGCCACAUUUGAGCUCUCUGGAAUUAGUAAAUUACUUGCACUGAGAUAUCUGAAGAUUGAAUGUAAUGCCGCCGUCAAACUGCCAGUUCCAGCCCAGUUUGGAGAUCUGCAACACCUGGAAGUGGAUACACCAGUACUUGUUAUCCCAUCGGAUAUUGGUGGACUUGGCAGACUCUCCAGUCUAAAGAUUGCCGUUAGAGCGAUAUCCAUGGAAGAUAUUCGUAUCCUCCAAAAUUUGGAAGCCCUCUCGGCUCUCUCGCUGCAUGUGUGGAACACUCCGGUCGAAAUGAUCGUCUUCGACAAGGGCGGAUUUCUAGUUCUCAAGUCCUUUGAAUUCAGGUGCCCUGUGCCUUGGCUGAAAUUUGAAGCGGGUUCAAUGCCUUGCCUCCGGAAUCUUAGCCUGUGUUUCAACGCCCACGAAGCAGAACGGCACGGUACUGCGACUAUCAGCAUCGAGCACCUGCCAGGCUUAAAAGAGAUCAUUGCACAUAUUUGGGUUUCAGAUACCGAUGUAAGAUAUACAUUCAGAACCAUAAUUAGCAAUCAUUCAAGCAAUCCUAUAAUCGACGAGCAGUUGAUCGACCCUAUUUUUCAUGGACACACAACAACAAGCAAAGGGACAAUCAAAAUGGAAGAUAAGAAGAAACAAGCUGAUGAUACCAGGAUGUCUACGUUUCCCUGGUCAAAAAGGACGGUUAAUUUACUGGGAUCCUCUUCCUGUGUGCCUGUGCAAGGUGCUGAGAAAAAGCUUAAACUGGAGAUAAAAACUGAAGUUAAGGCAGAGACAUUCACCUACGGUCAUGGAGAAAUGGCACAUGGGGUGCUGAAACUGAAAAUACAAACCAAAAAUAUUGAUGAUAAGCUAGAGACAAAGUUUGAUAUUCCAGAAGAUAUGCACAUCGAACAAUGCACGCCAUCAUCUCCUAUGAAGACUGAAAGUAUUGAGGAUAAGCUACAGACAAAAUUUGAUAUCCUAGAAGAUAAGAACAUUGAGCACUGGAUGCCAUCAUCUCCUAUGAGUAACCGGACUGACAUGAACUGGCAGCCUGCUGGAUGGGAAGAUGAGAAAAAACUAUCUGAUAUCAGGAUGUGUAACUCACCAGGGUCCUCUUCACAUGUGCCUGAUUCAGGUUCUGACAUGACUUCAAAAGUGAAGACAGAAACUGGCUAUAUUGAAAAUAGGGCAGAAACACACUUCGAUUAUGUUGAAGACAUGGUUGUUGAACCCCAGAUGACAACCAGUGGCAUCUGUCAGUUUGUCAAAUUAUUUCAGUGGGCCAAAUCUGCUAUUUCCUCUCAAUAUUCUGGAUUAAUUGGUUCAAGGGAGCAAGAACUUCAGGGUGAAUUAUUGGAGUUGGAGGAACGGCUACAAGGUCUUAGGGACACUCUGCCCAAAAUGUACGCCCUCCUUGAUCGAGCAGAGUGGAGUAGCCACGAAGAUUAUGUGGUUGAGCUCCUUCCAAAUUUGAAGGAUGCACUGUAUGAUGCCGAAGACCUUCUUGAUGAGUUCAAAUGGUACGAGCUAAAGGUGACAGUGGAGGGCAAUGCAAACCAAUGCCCUUUCAGUGAUUUCUUUAACGAUGUCAUUACAGGCAGCUUCAACGAGAAAGUCCAAUGUAUCCAAGAUAAGCUGGAAAAUCUUUCGAAUCAGCUGGAGAAGAUGGGCUUGCAUGAAGCUAGAAAACGGUUUGACAAAUCAGUCAGGCUAGAGACCACCUGUUUGCUAAACGAGACAAAAAUAUUUGGCCGCGACAAGGAGAUGAAGCAGGUUAUGAGGUUGCUUAGCAAACCUAAAAAAAGUAGUGAUGCCCAGUCGGAAAACAAAGAUAAUGAUGAAUCAAAAAUACCAGGUCUUCAUGUUUUGACAAUAGUUGGAAUUGGGGGUGUUGGUAAGACCUGUUUGGCCCAACAUGUUUGCAAUCAUUCAUAUAUAAGGUCUAACUUCGACCUGAUAAUUUGGAUUAGUGUGUCGGAUGACUUUGAUGCUAUGAGGUUGACUAAGCAGGCCUUAGAAUACUGCUCGGGAGAAAGGCCAACAUCAGAUGACUUGGGUACGCUUCAGGAUGCUCUUUAUGAACACGUGAGGGACAAAAAGGUCUUGAUUAUCCUUGAUGGCCUGUGGGGUGAUGCUUUCAAGGAAGACAGCAAAUAUUGGAAUAUAUUUUGUGCACCCUUAAAAAACAUUGGACGGGAAUGUUUGAUGUUGGUCACUACUAGAUCUCCUAUGGUUGCUCAUAAGGUCUGCACAAUGAAUCCCUUUACAUUGCAUGGUUUGAAGGAGGAUGAUGCCUUUUGGAAUUUCUUCAAACAAUGCAUAUUUGGGUCCGAGAGUUCUAACAAUGAUCCCAAUUUAGAACACAUUGGUAAGAGCAUACUUCCUAAGUUGAAGGGUUCUCCUUUAGCUGCCAAAAGUGUUGGACCCCUCUUAAGAAUGGACCUCCGUGCAUCACAUUGGAAUGAUGUAUUGGGGCGUGAACUGUGGGAGUUGAAACAAGAGAAGACUGACAUUUUGCCUUCUCUUCAGCUGAGCUACAUGUAUUUACCACUCCGUUUGAGGAGAUGUUUCGCAUUCUGUGCUGUGUACCCCAAGGAUUACAGAUUUGAAAAGCAUGUCUUAGCUGAAAUUUGGGUGGCCGAAGGUUUUGUGGAUCCUAAAGGUGACACUCCAGCUAAAGAUAUUAGUUGUCAGUACUUUGAUGAACUUGUGAACGAGUCAUUCUUUGAAAAAUCCCGUUUCUAUGGUGAGGCAUACAGAAUCCCUCAUCUGCUGCAUGACAUGGCAAAACUAGUUUCAAAGAAUGACUGCUUCAUCAUAAGAGAAAAGGCUGACUUUGGAAAAGUUCCUCCAGAUGUUCGUCAUCUCUCAAUAUUCCAGAAUGACUGCUUCAUGACAUGGCAGAUGAAGAAUGACUGCUUCAUCAUAAGGGAAGGCAUUGACCAUGCCAGCUUGUUGAGCCUGUGCAAGCACACAAAGCUGCGCACCCUACUUUUUGAUGAAGUUUUUGGGACUAAAGAUAUAUCUGCUGUAAUAGACCAUUGGUGCAGCGGCCUUCAUCGUUUGCGUGUGAUGUGUUGUGGCUCUACAAAUGAGUUACCAGAUAGCAUUGGCAACUUGAAGCAUCUUCGGUACCUUGAAAUCAUGGGAGCUUGUUCUUUGAACAGCAUUCCUUCGGCAUUCUGUCACCUCUACAGUCUGCAGAUUGUAUAUGCCAGGGAUUGCAAGCUUGAAACCAUGCGCGGCGACUUCAGUAAUUUGAUCAGUUUAAGGAGAUUUAAAUCGCACGGAUUUGACUAUUCUCCAGGGUGUGUCCUAGACAUUGAUUUGGCCGAUUGGCAAGGAUUGGGACUUGGAUUGAUAAAGAAUGUGUCAGAUGUUAAAGGUUUGCGCUUACGUAACCUCGGCAAGAUGAGCAAGAAUCAGGCAGCAGAGGUGGAAUUGAAGAAUAAGCAACGUCUCAACAGCCUGGAACUGAGCUGGGGUUGGUACCAACGUGAAAAGAGAGACAAUGAUGAUAGACAAGUGCUUCAAGCUUUAGAACCUCCCACUGGUCUCAUGUCUCUGCACCUCCAGGGCUACGGAGGCGUAUCUCUUCCAAGCUGGUUUGGGCCACAAAACCUGCCAAGCUUGGCAUCACUGAUACUUGAUAGGUGUGAUGAACUAGAGAGCAUGUUCUUGGCAGAGGGCACAUCAUUAUCACAGCGGAUAGACGACCAAAACGAGAUGCCUGUGGAGCUGCCAGUUGACAGCAGCAACAAAGACACCACUGGUAUUUUCCCGUCCAUGACAGAGCUCACUAUAACUUUGUGCCAAAAGUUAUCUAGCCUUGAACAACUCAUACAGCCAGCUUAUAUUCCAGCCAUCAACAAGAUAACAAUAGAGAAUUGUGAAAGCUUGGCAUCGGCUGGAAGUUUUGUGGGUUUCCAUUGCCUUGAGGAAUUGGUGGUUCGUAAGUGUCCAAGCAUCAACUCCCAAUGUUUGGUGGCCCCCUCUCUCAAGAGGCUCGUGCUGGGUCGUUUUACUGCUGAACCAUUCAGAGGAAAUAGCUUCAGCUUUGGGAAUCUCGGCGACAAUAUAGAGUGCUGCUCUCUCGCCAAUUUUAAGCUAACAUGUGAUGGCGUCACUUGCAUCCAACUAGAGAACUGGAAUCUUCCAGCUCUGCGGGAGUUGGAAAUUUCAGUUUGUCCAUCUCUUAGAAGUAUCGGACAGGUGUUUACCAACCUUUCAGUUUGUGGCAGAGUAUUCUCAUCCCUUACUUACCUACAUAUUGUCUUAUGUGAAGAGCUGUCAGCCAUUCAUAACCUCCUGUCAGAAGAAUAUCUACCUGUCAUUCAGAAGAUAGAGUUUGAAUAUUGCAGAAGGUUAGUGUCGCUGCCUGUUGAAAUUGGGAGUUUAUCCUCUCUGCGUGAGUUGAAGAUUAGCGGAUGCCCCAGCAUCAGAUGGCCAAGCGGAUUGGUGUUCCCAUCUUCCCUCGAGUGGCUCGAGUUAAGUGACAGUGGGGAUAUGUGUGCAUGUGUUCCCAGCUGCCUGGAGAACCUCACAUCCCUUGUCUCACUGACGCUGGAGAGAUGUCCGGGUAUAACGGUCAUUCCAGAAAAGGUAUGGAGCAAAUCACUCCAGCAACUACGUAUUACAGAAUGUCCAGACCUUGUGUCAAUCGGCGGAGCAGGGGCAAUCGCACAACUGAGGACGGUGACUAUUGAGGAAUGUCCAAAGAUGGAGGACAUAAAGCAGCCUCACAAGAGAGGCCGCUUUAACUACUACCUCCGGGAUAUGAUCGUCGUCUAA
rnacentral:rRNA from 1 species